rnacentral:rRNA from 1 species
AUUGAACGCUGGCGGCAUGCCUUACACAUGCAAGUCGAACGGCAGCGGGGGAGAAGCUUGCUUUUCCUGCCGGCGAGUGGCGAACGGGUGAGUAAUACAUCGGAACGUGCCCUGUAGUGGGGGAUAACUAGUCGAAAGAUUAGCUAACACCGCGUACGACCUGAGGGUGAAAGUGGGGGACGGCAAGGCCUCAUGCUAUAGGAGCGGCCGAGGGCUGAGUUAGCUAGUUGGGGGGGUAAAGGCCUACUAAGGCGAGAAUCAGUAGCUGGUCUGGGGGGACGAUAAGCCGCCCUGGAAUUGAAACACGGCCCAGACUCCAACGGGAGGCAGGAGUGGGGAAUUUUGGACAAGGGGCGAAGGCCUGAUCCAGCAAUGCCGCGUGCAGGAAGAAGGCCUUCGGGUUGUAAACUGCUUUUGUACGGAGCGAAAAGGCUCUCUCUAAUACAGGGGGCUCAUGACGGUACCGUAAGAAUAAGCACCGGCUAACUACGUGCCAGCCGCCGCCGUAA